GAAGAAAGUAAUAAAGAGUACACGGGGGAUGCCUUGGCUCUCGGAGGCGAUGAAGGACGUGAUAAGCUGCGAUAAGCAUCGGGGAUCUGCAAAUGAGAAUUGAUCCGGUGAUUUCCGAAUGGGGCAACCCGGCAUGUUGAAGACAUGUCACAAUAAGAGCGAACCUGCCGAACUGAAACAUCUAAGUAAGCAGAGGAAUAGAAAAUAACAAUGAUUUCCUAAGUAGUGGCGAGCGAAAGGGAAAGAGCCCAAACCAAUAUUGUUACGGCAAUGUUGGGGUUGUAGGACUGUGAUGUGGUUAUAAUGCAGCGAAGUGGAACGGGAUGGGAAGCCCGGCAAUAUAGCGUGAGAGCCGCGUACACGUAAGCACCAUUAGCCUAACAGUAUCCUGAGUACCGCGAGGUCGGAGACGCCUUGUGGGAAUCUGCCGGCACCAUCCGGUAAGGCUAAAUACUCCCGAGAGACCGAUAGUGAACCAGUACCGUGAGGGAAAGGUGAAAAGAACCCCGAACAGGGGAGUGAAAUAGAACCUGAAACCGUGUACUUACAAGCGGUCGGAGCACCUUCGUGGUGUGACGGCGUGCCUUUUGCAUAAUGAGCCUACGAGUUACUCUUCACUGGCAAGGUUAAGUGCUUUAGGCACGGAUCCGAAGCGAAAGCGAGUCUGAACAGGGCGCAUAGUCAGUGGAGGUAGACGCGAAACCUUGUGAUCUACCCUUGGGCAGGUUGAAGGUGCGGUAACACGUACUGGAGGACCGAACCGAUAAACGUUGAAAAGUUUCCGGAUGACCUGAGGGUAGGGGUGAAAGGCUAAUCAAACUGGGAAAUAGCUCGUACUCCCCGAAAUGUUUUUAGGAACAGCGUCGGUGUUGAGUUAUAUAGAGGUAGAGCUACUGAUUGGGUGCGGGGGAGUCAAAUCCUACCAAAUCCAGACAAACUCCGAAUGCUAUAUAAUAUAACCGGCAGUGAGGCUCAGGGUGCUAAGGUCCUGGGCCGAGAGGGAAAGAACCCAGACCAUCAGCUAAGGUCCCUAAAUUAUAGUUAAGUUGAACUAACGAGGUGCGGUUGCAUAGACAGCUAGGAUGUUGGCUUGGAAGCAGCCAUUCAUUUAAAGAGUGCGUAACAGCUCACUAGUCGAGCGGCCGUGCAUGGAUAAUAAACGGGCAUCAAACUAUAUACCGAAGCUAUGGGAUUGAAAUAUAUCGGUAGGGGAGCAUUCUGGCGGCAGUGAAGUUGCAGCGUGAGCUGUGGUGGAGCUUCCAGAAAAGCAAAUGUAGGCAUAAGUAACGAUAAGGCGGGAGAGAAACCCGCCCACCGAAAGGAUAAGGUUUCCUGAUCAACGCUAAUCGGAUCAGGGUUAGUCGGGGCCUAAGGCGAACCCGAAGGGGGUAGUCGAUGGACAACGGUUUAAUAUUACCGUACCUUUUAUAGAUGCGAUGUGGGGACGGAGUAGUGGAACUGCCGCGAUCUGACGGAAUAGAUCGUUGAAGGCUGUAGGUAUAGGACUGGUAGGCAAAUCCGCCGGUCCUGCUGAACGCUGAUAGUACCGCGAGCCUUCGGGCAAGUGGAUAGCGCAGGUAAUCAGACUUCCAAGAAAAACCGCUAAGCUCCAGUCUAUAAAAGCCCGUACCGCAAACCGACACAGGUAUCCGGGAAGAGGAUUCCAAGGUGCUCGAGUGAAUCAUGGCUAAGGAACUCGGCAAAAUGGCCCUGUAACUUCGGGAGAAGGGGCGCUGGCAGCAAUGUCAGCCGCAGUGAAAAGGCCCAGGCGACUGUUUAACAAAAACACAUGGCUUUGCAAAAUCGAAAGAUGAGGUAUAAGGCCUGACACCUGCCCGGUGCUGGAAGGUUAAGAGGGGAUGUCAGCCGCAAGGCGAAGCAUUGAAUCGAAGCCCCAGUAAACGGCGGCCGUAACUAUAACGGUCCUAAGGUAGCGAAAUUCCUUGUCGGGUAAGUUCCGACCUGCACGAAUGGUGUAACGAUCUGGGCGCUGUCUCAGCCAUGAGCUCGGUAAAUUGUGGUCCCGGCGAAGACGCCGGGUACCCGCAACGGGACGGAAAGACCCCAUGCACCUUCACUACAGUUUAACAUUGACAUUGGGUACAGGAUGUGUAGGAUAGGUGGGAGGCUUUGAAGCGGCGUCGCCAGGCGUCGUGGAGCCAACGUUGAAAUACCACCCUUUCUGUAUUCGGUGUCUAACCCCGCUGAGCGGGGGACAUUGUUUGAUGGGUAGUUUGACUGGGGUGGUCGCCUCCAAAAAGGUAACGGAGGCUUUCAAAGGUAAGCUCAGUACGCUUGGUAACCGUACGGGGAGUGCAAUAGCAUAAGCUUGCUUGACUGUGAGGCAUACAGGCCGAUCAGGGUCGAAAGACGGAUAUAGUGAUCCGGUGGUUCUGCAUGGAAGGGCCAUCGCUCAAAGGAUAAAAGGUACGCUGGGGAUAACAGGCUGAUCUCCCCCAAGAGCUCAUAUCGACGGGGAGGUUUGGCACCUCGAUGUCGGCUCGUCACAUCCUGGGGCUGGAGAAGGUCCCAAGGGUUCGGCUGUUCGCCGAUUAAAGUGGCACGCGAGCUGGGUUCAGAACGUCGCGAGACAGUUCGGUCCCUAUCUGUUGUGGGCGUUGGAAUCUUGAGUGGGGCUGACCUUAGUACGAGAGGACCGGGUUGGACCAGCCUCUAGUGAACCUGUUGUUCCGCCAGGGGCAUUGCAGGGUAGCUACGCUGGGAAUAGAUAAGCGCUGAAAGCAUCUAAGUGCGAAACUAGCCACGAGAUGAGGAUUCCAUAUAGGGCCGUAGCAGACUACUACGUUGAUAGGAUACAGAUGUAAAGGUGGCGACACCACAGUCGAGUAUUACUAAUAGCCCGAGGCUUUCAUCAA
rnacentral:rRNA from 1 species